CGAUCUGUUUCCGCGGUGCCCCCGGGACCUGCCCAAAUGGGGGAAGAUGUCUAAGCCCCGACAGGUGCUCCUGUCCCCGGGGGUUUUCCGGUUCACCCUGUUCAGAUAUAAACGAGUGCCUCCAAAACAAUGGUGGAUGCUCGGGCACUUGCACGAACACACAGGGAUCCUUCACAUGCAACUGUAGCCAUGAUUACCAGCUUGCUGCGGACAUGCGCACGUGUAAAGCAAUCUGCCAGGGACUUCCAGCAGGCACAUGUCGCAAUGGUGGUACCUGUGUUCAGCCAGGUGUGUGUGAAUGUC